GAUGAACGCUGGCGGCGUGCCUAAUACAUGCAAGUCGAGCGAAUGGAUUAAGAGCUUGCUCUUAUGAAGUUAGCGGCGGACGGGUGAGUAACACGUGGGUAACCUGCCCAUAAGACUGGGAUAACUCCGGGAAACCGGGGCUAAUACCGGAUAACAUUUUGAACCGCAUGGUUCGAAAUUGAAAGGCGGCUUCGGCUGUCACUUAUGGAUGGACCCGCGUCGCAUUAGCUAGUUGGUGAGGUAACGGCUCACCAAGGCAACGAUGCGUAGCCGACCUGAGGGGGUGAUCGGCCACACUGGGACUGAGACACGGCCCAGACUCCGACGGGGGGCAGCAGUAGGGAAUCUUCCGCAAUGGACGAAAGUCUGACGGAGCAACGCCGCGUGAGUGAUGAAGGCUUUCGGGUCGUAAAACUCUGUUGUUAGGGAAGAACAAGUGCUAGUUGAAUAAGCUGGCACCUUGACGGUACCUAACCAGAAAGCCACGGCUAACUACGUGCCAGCAGCCGCCGUAA
rnacentral:rRNA from 1 species